CUGUUGCUACAGAGAAAUGGUGAUUUGACCAAACAUUUGGAAUCCUCUUUCUCUGAUGAGAUCUUAAGGGCCAUAUUACGAAGAACUUUAUUCAUCUUUAUGUGUUUCAUCUCAGAGCUCUCUAGCAAAGAUACAUUGAUGAGAUCAUUCAAUAUUUCUAUUCCUCUGUCGCGUGCAGUGAACUCAUCCGCAUCACGAAUGAAACCUUCAGCUCUCCAGCAUUCCAGCAAAUAAUCCAUAUAGACAUUGCAACCUUCAGUAAAUAAUGC
rnacentral:misc_RNA from 1 species